rnacentral:lncRNA from 1 species
UUUUUUUUUUUUUUUUUAUCACCCCCCAAACCUAACCCAACCCAACCUAACCUAACCUAUCUCAUGAGGUGGGUAAAAAACACUUCCUUGUACGUACAGUCUCGGACACUGCACCACAGUAGGUAGAACGCCGUGAUCACGUAAAAACUGUACGGAUUUAGCAGUCCUCGAAAAACUCAGCGAUAACUUUGAAGUAAUACAGUUCACAACCUGCACAGUGGGACAUCUUGCCUCAAACUGAAUUCAAAUUCAUACCGCGAGCCUCAAGGCCACCGUGAUUAGUUGAAUAAAUUAUGAUUUUUUUUUCAUUGGCCGCCGGUUCACUUUCAAACGGAAGUAACCAAUCAGCGGAAACAAUAGCUCAAACCAAACGAGUCACUAAUGUUGACCCGCACGGUAGCCGCUGCCCUGGUCCUGGUCCAGCAGCUCUCGCGCCAGUCUGCCUCUGUUCUAUUGACUCGGGAGAACACCAAAAAUACGAUUAAAUCUUUUAAAUUCGGUAUCGCCAUUACAAAUAGGUUGCGCCUUAUAAAUAUGGGAUUCAAAAUACUCGUAAUGAGGAACUCUAUCUCAUGAGGUGCUGGUGCCACAGUCCAUUUCACCUGGAUAUUCUUUCAUGUGGGUAUCCCACUUAAUGAAAAGGCAGACCGCCAUGCUCAUUGUGCCUUUCUGGACGACACAGUGGACCCUGGCACCGAGUACACUCCAGGCUAUGUUAAGAGUAACGUUAAGGACUUCGUACAUAGUAGCAUUAGUGAUCAAUUGGAACGGUUGCCAUAGGGGCAGUGUCAGUAGUCUUCCCUAUGCACGUGUCUCCCAGACCUGUGCUUAACACCUAUGAGAGACACACUGCAUCACACAACAGGGUAGCAAAGAGGCUCAGAUUAUGCUAGUACUUUUGAGAAGUCCGUGUUUCUGGUGUAUGCUGCACCAAAGGGACACACUGCAUCGUCAUGGAAUGUCCUCUCGUUGCUAAAAUUUAGGCCAGUCAACAUGAUUUGUGUACCCUCAUUGACCAUCUCCUAGACUCAGCCACUCUCAUGGAUAUACUCAAGGAAUAUCCUAUGCUUGCUACCAAACUGUAGGAUAUUUAUGUAAUAAGGUGUGCAAUAUCUGUAUUUAUUUAUUUACUAAUAUUCUUGUAAUGUAUAUUUUUGAUUACCAUUAAGUCUUUGUCCAGGGGUGGGUGGCAAGGUCCUUCCUCCUCCUUUUGUUGUAUUUCAUUAUUAAGGCAACAAUAAAUGUAUCAAUCAAUCAAUGAGUAUUUACAAUAUUUUAGUUACCUUAAUAAUUUUGAGAUGUCUGAAAUUCUCACAAAUUGUACCACAAAAAUGUGAUAACAUAUUGAAGAAAAUGAAGCACAGUCAGACUGUUAUAUUACAUUUUUUGAAUGCAGGAAAAAUUUGCUUUCUACUGUAGUGGAAUGAAGAAAAUAGGAAUGCCUCAUUGCAUCAAGAAAAUUAGGUUUUCAUGUUCAGCACCAUACUUAAAUUAAAUUGGAAAAUAAGAGCAGAUAGGAUUUCAUUGGAAAUUAUUACUUGGAGCAUGUUUCUCACGUUUUUAGUCUUAGAUCAAAAUUAAUGCCAAAACAAUCCUGAGCAGGCUAAUUAAAAUGUUAUAAUCUAUAAAGUGGCAUUUGAUAUAUUUUAACAAACAAAAAACAACUAUACUUAAUCUUACUGUCUUAAGACUUGCUAUAACUUUCUAAUAAUAAAUCAAAUAUCAAAAUAAUGCCAACUGAGUUAAUAAAACCAAAGGCUGAAACCAAAACCAAAUCCCAAGAAAAAGAAUACCAAUUACGCUAUAUGUACUUGCUUCAUUCCUAUUGUAAUGUAUUCCAGACAAUGGAGCAUGUAAUUUUUAAAUAAAACUCCAUACUAUAUAAAACAUGAAUUUAUGCUUCCACUGGUUAUAUAAUGUUUUUGUGCUCUAUCACUCAUUACUUUUGUUUACUCUACUCCUCUCCUUUAACAUAUCUACAUAGUGAAAUGUCACCAAAACUUAAAAAUAGUUGACUGAAAGCAAUUUGGCAAGACAGAGGAUACAAGUUAACUUUUUGGUUAACAUUAAUGAACAUAGUAAGUAGUGCUAUUAAGUAAUAGAAUGAAUUGAGAGCAGGGGUGUUAGAUGAAUGAAUUUUUUGUGGUCAGAAGAGCCUAAGAUAACACUUUGGUGAAAGGAAUUACAAUCAUGGAGGUUAGCUGUACUUACAUAAAGGUUUUCAAGAUAUUGAGAAAAGCUUAUGGGGUGAAAAGAUAAAUGUUAGGAAAAUCAGAAAACCUUGGGUAAGUGGGGAGAGAGAGAGAGAGAGAGAGAGAGAGAGAGAGAGAGAGAGAGAGAGAGAGAGAGAGAGAGAGAGAGAGAGAGAGAGAGAGAGAGAGA